rnacentral:misc_RNA from 1 species
UUUCCGUAGGUGAACCUGCGGAAGGAUCAUUAACGAGUUAGGGUCUUCCAGGCCCGACCUCCCAACCCUAUGUUUAUUGAACCUCUGUUGCUUCGGCGGACCCGCCUCACGGCCGCCGGAGGACCGCUGCAAGGCGUCCUCUGGCCAGCGUCCGCCGAUGGCCAACCACUUAAACUCUGAAUGAAUCGUGUCAUAUGUCUAAGUCUAUGAUUAAAUUAAAGCAAAACUUUCAACAACGGAUCUCUCGGUUCUG